UGCAGUCGAACGGUAACAGACCGCUGGGAUCCCUUCGGGGUGACCUUGGUGCUGACGAGUGGCGGACGGGUGAGUAACGCUUGGGAAUCUACCCUGUAGUGGGGGACAACCCGGGGAAACUCGGGCUAAUACCGCAUACGUCCUACGGGAGAAAGAGGGCCUCUUCUUGAAAGCUCUCGCUACUGGAUGAGCCCAAGUCGGAUUAGCUUGUUGGUGAGGUAAUAGCUCACCAAGGCUACGAUCCGUAGCUGGUCUGAGAGGACGAUCAGCCACACUGGGACUGAGACACGGCCCAGAUUCCUACGGGAGGCAGCAGUGGGGAAUAUUGGACAAUGGGGGCAACCCUGAUCCAGCAAUGCCGCGUGUGUGAAGAAGGCCUGCGGGUUGUAAAGCACUUUCAGCAGAGAAGAAAAGCCUAGGGCUAAUACCUCUGGGUCUUGACGUAACCUGCAGAAGAAGCACCGGCUAACUCCGUGCCAGCAGCCGCGGUAAUACGGAGGGUGCGAGCGUUAAUCGGAAUUACUGGGCGUAAAGCGCGCGUAGGCGGUCUGGUCAGUCGGAUGUGAAAGCCCCGGGCUUAACCUGGGAAUUGCAUUCGAAACUGCCUGGCUAGAGUAUGGGAGAGGGAAGUGGAAUUUCCGGUGUAGCGGUGAAAUGCGUAGAUAUCGGAAGGAACACCAGUGGCGAAGGCGGCUUCCUGGCCCAAUACUGACGCUGANGUGCGAAAGCGUGGGGAGCAAACAGGAUUAGAUACCCUGGUAGUCCACGCCGUAAACGAUGAGGACUGGAUGUUGGGAGGGUAGCCUCUCAGUGUCGCAGCUAACGCGUUAAGUCCUCCGCCUGGGGAGUACGCCGGCNNCGGUAAAACUCAAAGGAAUUGACGGGGACCCGCACAAGCGGUGGANCAUGUGGUUUAAUUCGAUGCAACGC
rnacentral:rRNA from 1 species